GCUACACUGCAGUCGAGCGGUAGCACAGGGAGCUUGCUCCUGGGUGACAAGCGGCGGACGGGUGAGUAAUGUCUGGGAAACUGCCUGGAUGGAGGGGGAUAACUACUGGAAACGGUAGCUAAUACCGCAUAACGUCGCAAGACCAAAGAGGGGGACCUUCGGGCCUCUUGCCAUCAGAUGUGCCCAGAUGGGAUUAGCUAGUAGGUGGGGUAACGGAUCACCUAGGCGACGAUCCCUAGCUGGUCUGAGAGGAUGACCAGCCACACUGGAACUGAGACACGGUCCAGACUCCUACGGGAGGCAGCAGUGGGGAAUAUUGCACAAUGGGCGCAAGCCUGAUGCAGCCAUGCCGCGUGUAUGAAGAAGGCCUUCGGGUUGUAAAGUACUGUCAGCGGGGAGGAAGGUGCUGAGGCUAA
rnacentral:rRNA from 1 species